UAUGUAGGGGGCUAGCGUUGUCCGGAAUCAUUGGGCGUAAAGAGCGUGUAGGCGGUCCGGUAAGUCCGCUGUGAAAGUCGGGGGCUCAACCCUCGAAUGCCGGUGGAUACUGUCGGGCUAGAGUGCGGAAGAGGCGAGUGGAAUUCCUGGUGUAGCGGUGAAAUGCGCAGAUAUCAGGAGGAACACCUAUUGCGAAGGCAGCUCGCUGGGACGUAACUGACGCUGAGACGCGAAAGCGUGGGGAGCAAACAGG
rnacentral:rRNA from 1 species